rnacentral:rRNA from 1 species
AAAAUUAUCAAUAACGGAUCUCUUGGUUCUCGCAUCGAUGAAGACCGCAGCAAAGCGCGAAAGAUAAUGUGAAUUGCAGACGUGAAUCAUUGAGUUGUUGAACGCACAUUGCACUUCUUUUAACGAAGAAGUAUGCUCUGGCGAGCGUCAUUUCUCUC